UGGGGAAUAUUGGACAAUGGGCGCAAGCCUGAUCCAGCCAUGCCGCGUGAGUGAUGAAGGCCCUAGGGUUGUAAAGCUCUUUCACCUGUGAAGAUAAUGACGGUAACCGGAGAAGAAGCCCCGGCUAACUUCGUGCCAGCAGCCGCGGUAAUACGAAGGGGGCUAGCGUUGUUCGGAUUUACUGGGCGUAAAGCGCACGUAGGCGGGCUAUUAAGUCAGGGGUGAAAUCCCGGGGCUCAACCCCGGAACUGCCUUUGAUACUGGUAGUCUUGAGUUCGAGAGAGGUGGGUGGAGUUCCGGGUGUAGAAGUGAAAUUCGUAGAUAUUCGGAGGAACACCAGUGGCGAAGGCGGCUCACUGGCUCGAUACUGACGCUGAGGUGCGAAAGCGUGGGGAGCAAACAGG
rnacentral:rRNA from 1 species